ensembl:lncRNA
GGAAAACAUCUUGGAUCAAAGUAGGGUGGUAGAAAGUAACUUUGGAAUGCAGAAGGUGGAGAAAGGAAAAGCAUACCAAUUCGGUAUACAUGUUAUCAACUCUGAGGGCCUCAGUAAGCUCCUGGAAGCAGAAGAACAGAAAUUAUUGCCAGAUGAGCUGUUGGGUGCCUCAGUCUCGAGGGGUAGAUGUCAGGAAAGAAGCUGUCACCAUCACCAGGAACUCCUCAGCCCAGGAUGGACGUUCCUCAGUGCAAGGCUAUGUCAUAGAAAGAAGGAAAAAGAAGGUAACUGAAGGAUACAGCAUGAUACAGUGUGAGUUCAACCAUGCAGGGCCUGGAUUUCCCAGCGCACCUUUAACCACUUGUUGCAAAGGAUCCCACCGAGCCUGCAGAAGUCCUGAAGGUUCUCUACAUGGUGGAUUUUUCCAGUUCUAGCAUCUCCUUAGCCUGCCAGGAACC